AUAAAAGAGCGCACGCGCAUCUAUUCGUUGCAUUCGGGUGUGGCAGCGGGACUGAGCCAGGGUACCUGCAGAAUCCGUAUCCUGUAGCAGUAUGGCAGGAGCCGGUGGCCGAGCAGCCGGUCCUGACAACGGCGGCAGGACACGACGCACCCGGUGCCGCGGUCGCCGGCGUCGCCUGACGCCGCCCGCCCGCACUGCUGGCCGACGCGGCUGCCGCAGCUCUGGAUGAGCUCCGAGCAGAUACAACGCGUAUUUUUUUUAAUUAUUCUUUAAUAAGAUGACUUCGUUUUAUGGUGGUGGUUAUACAAGAUUAGUGAUAUAAGAACAUCCGUUCCUGUGAUGUAUUUAGUUUGGCAAGUCACAAACUCAACACUUUUCCGUUUUUAUUACAUUUAAGAUUACAAUAUCCUUUUAUUACAUUUAAGAUUACAUCAUCAUGUACAUACAAAUAAGUUUCAAUUUCCUUUCAACGUCAGCAAUGUCCUUUUAGUUGUAGGUAGACGAAACCAAUGUAAGUUUUGUUAUUAGAAUAUAUUUUGAAGUGUUGUUUACAGUACCAUUAGUUUAUAAAUAUAUAGUUAAAACAUUCUUCUACUUGUCAUCCGUAUCACUAGACAUGUUAAUAAAUGUUUGUUAACGGAACACUCUCUGACACGUUGUUACAGAAUAAAAUAAGUUGUGAUGGUUA